rnacentral:lncRNA from 1 species
CACCAGUAAAUGUCUGAGGAAUGAAUAAGAGAGCGUGUGCAUGCUCUGAAGUCUGGACAACCACCUAUUUUCAGUUUGAAAACAUAACAGAGUUCUCGGGACUUGAAAUGUUUACCUUAGACUUGCCAGAAGCUUCUCUCUUGCCUGUUGACCGUGCAUCUCCAUUGUGUCCCGGAUGCCAAUGCUGUUGUCAGUUGUUGCUGCAAGUCCUUUACAAUCAAGGCCACCACCAUAGAGUGAUUCUAGAAGAUGGCUCUGAGCUCACUUUAUCCAUUCAACUCCUGAUACCCUGGAAACUACGAAAUCAAGACGCAAAGGAAGACACCAUCUGCAAGAUGAACAAGGGUGCUCCUGCAAGAAGGCCCAGCACUCAGGAAGUAGUUUUUGGCACUGAGUUCACGCUCUCAUCUGUGAACCGACCUUCAGAGCAACACUUAACUGGUUUCCAGUACACUCAGAAUAAUGGACAAAUAACUCCAGGAUCCUUGCCGUGGCCCAUUGGCCCCACGUGUGGCAGUCCUGAGGACGUGCUUCACCUUCUCCUGUCAUCUCCCUUCUCCUUUUCCACGCAGCUCUAGAAAACAACAGGCCUUCCUGGGGCUCCAGCCCCCGCCCUCCCAAGCCUGCUCCGACCUCAGCUCAUUUGCACAUCUCUUCUUGCUGGAAUCCCUGCCUCACGUCAUGGCUUCUACUUCUAUCAGCUUCACGUCUUUGCUCAGAUGUCGUCCCCUUACAGAAGCCUUCCCCCAGCCGCCCAGUUUAAGGUAGUAGAACCCCCUCCAUUACUUCCCAUGUUCUCAG